UUACGGCCAUAUAACGUUGAAAAGCCGGUUCUCGUACGAUCACCGAAGUUAAGCAACAUCGAACCCGGUCAGUAGCUAGAUGGGUGACUGUUUGGGAAUACCAGGUGCUGUAAG